rnacentral:rRNA from 1 species
GACGAACGCUGGCGGCGUGCUUAACACAUGCAAGUCGAACGGAAAGGCCCUGCCUUUGUGGGGUGCUCGAGUGGCGAACGGGUGAGUAACACGUGAGUAACCUGCCCCUGACUCUGGGAUAACUUCUGGAAACUGGGGCUAAUACCGGAUAGGAGCUGCUGCUGCAUGGUGGGUGUUGGAAAGUUUCGGCGGUUGGGGAUGGACUCGCGGCUUAUCAGCUUGUUGGUGGGGUAGUGGCUUACCAAGGCGUUGACGGGUAGCCGGCCUGAGAGGGUGACCGGCCACAUUGGGACUGAGAUACGGCCCAGACUCCUACGGGAGGCAGCAGUGGGGAAUAUUGCACAAUGGGCGGAAGCCUGAUGCAGCAACGCCGCGUGCGGGAUGACGGCCUUCGGGUUGUAAACCGCUUUCGCCUGUGACGAAGCGAGAGUGACGGUAACUGGUAAAGAAGCACCGGCUAACUACGUG